rnacentral:misc_RNA from 1 species
UUGGCGGUGGCCUGGUCCUCG